rnacentral:rRNA from 1 species
UAGGGAAUAUUGCACAAUGGGCGAAAGCCUGAUGCAGCAACGCCGCGUGCGCGAUGAAGGCCUUCGGGUUGUAAAGCGCUUUUCUGGAGGAUGAGAAAGGACAGUACUCCAGGAAUAAGGAUCGGCUAACUACGUGCCAGCAGCCGCGGUAACACGUAGGAUCCGAGCGUUAUCCGAAUUUACUGGGCGUAAAGCGCGUGCAGGCGGUUUGGUAAGUUGGAUGUGAAAGCUCCUGGCUCAACUGGGAGAGGCCGUUCAAAACUACCAGACUUGAGGACGGUAGAGGGAGGUGGAAUUCCCGGUGUAGUAGUGAAAUGCGUAGAUAUCGGGAGGAACACCAGUGGCGAAGGCGGCCUCCGUGGACCGUUCCUGACGCUCAGACGCGAAAGCUAAGGGAGCGAACGGGAUUAGAAACCCGGUAGUCUUAGCCGUAAACGAUGUGAACUUGAUGUCGGUGGGGUAAAAUCCAUCGGUGUCGAAGCUAACGCGAUAAGUUCA